rnacentral:tRNA from 1 species
GCCCUUUUAACUCAGUGGUAGAGUAAUGCCAUGGUAAGGCAUAAGUCAUCGGUUCAAAUCCGGUCAUAUAUU